UGGGGAAUUUUGGACAAUGGGGGAAACCCUGAUCCAGCCAUCCCGCGUGUGCGAUGAAGGCCUUCGGGUUGUAAAGCACUUUUGGCAGGAAAGAAACGUCGCGGGUUAAUACCCCGCGAAACUGACGGUACCUGCAGAAUAAGCACCGGCUAACUACGUGCCAGCAGCCGCGGUAAUACGUAGGGUGCAAGCGUUAAUCGGAAUUACUGGGCGUAAAGCGUGCGCAGGCGGUUCGGAAAGAAAGAUGUGAAAUCCCAGAGCUUAACUUUGGAACUGCAUUUUUAACUACCGGGCUAGAGUGUGUCAGAGGGAGGUGGAAUUCCGCGUGUAGCAGUGAAAUGCGUAGAUAUGCGGAGGAACACCGAUGGCGAAGGCAGCCUCCUGGGAUAACACUGACGCUCAUGCACGAAAGCGUGGGGAGCAAACAGGAUUAGAUACCCUGGUAGUCCACGCCCUAAACGAUGUCAACUAGCUGUUGGGGCCUUCGGGCCUUGGUAGCGCAGCUAACGCGUGAAGUUGACCGCCUGGGGAGUACGGUCGCAAGAUUAAAACUUAAAUGAAUUGACAGGGUCAUAGCUGUUUCCCU
rnacentral:rRNA from 1 species